rnacentral:snRNA from 1 species
AUCACCUCUUGGCCUUUUGGCUAAGAUCAAGUGUAGUAUUUGUUCUUGCCAGUUUAAAAUGUCUGUUCAUUCCUUUGCCAAUUUCUGUACCGGGAUUGCCCUUUUUCUUGUUGAUCAGCAGAAAUUCUUGGCACAUCUGUGUCUAAUGUACAAUUCUAGAAUUUUCAGUUUACUCAAC